rnacentral:misc_RNA from 1 species
UUUCCGUAGGUGAACCUGCGGAAGGAUCAUUAUUGUAUAACCGAGGUGCGAGGGCUGUCGCUGACCCGAAAGUUCGCGCACGCCCGAGUGCCCCCACACACAUCCAUCCCACCCCUAUGUGCACCACCGCGCGGGCCCCCCUCUUGCUUUUUCGGAGGUGGCCUCACGUUUUCCCAUAAUUUUUUAAGGCAAUGCUUUCAGCAAUUUUUGUUUUUGUUCUCACUCCAUUAAAAAAACCAGCAACACCGGAUCUCUUGGGUCUGACAUCGAUGAAGAACC